GCGCCCGAAUAAGGGUGCCCACAACCCAGGCAUAAAACGGCGGCGUCGAGGGGAGUUGGUGCAAAGCACCCAACAAUGAACCCCGCCCUCCAGCCUUGGGUACA
rnacentral:snoRNA from 1 species